UCUCAGUUCUCCUUGGUCCUUGCCUCGUCACCUACCUUCCCGACCCUUAUCUCUUCACUGUCUCCCCACCACUCCCUAUUCCAUGGUGGCCACAAGCCCACAGCUCUCUCUCUCUCCUCAGACCGCCCCUCCUGUUUUUCCCCACCGCCGACGCGAGGUCCCGCACUCUUCCCACUCUUCUCAACCCCUCCUCCUCAAAUCGGUCGCCGAAGUGCCCGAGGAUCCGCUCGAGCUCGGCAUGGUCGCUGGGCGCGGGACGAAGGCCGACGCGAAGGCGCGGGACUCGUCUCCACCAGAUCGGCGGCCGUGGCUGUCAUGCGUCGCAACCUCCGCCCCUGGUUCCUUCCUCUCUAUAUCGCUCGUCGGCGGCUCCCACCACCCUGUGUGUGCGACUGCGCUGCGCCCUGCAAUGCCCAGGCACGACAGCAGUACCCCGGUGUCUGGUCCCCUGCAAGUGCAAGCCGGCGCCGGUAGACGAUCUAUUCCCCUCUUCGGCUUUCAUAUAUGCUUAUUUCUGAUUUGAGGCUUAGACGAAAUGGAUAUUAAAGACCAUCUAAGAGUGAGGGAAUUUGUUCCAUCCUAAAUUUUUGGGACUGGAAUAAACACAAAGAUGGGAAUGGGAGGCAUACCUGCCUGCCAUAUACAUCAACCUGAAGCUUUCAAGCGUUGUACAGAACAAGUAAUUGACAGGUUUACUUCAUGAUAGUCUUGGAUUUGGUUUGGCCAAAAUGAUCAGGCAGGUGCGUUGCCUGAGGAGUUCGUCGGUGCCGAUGUCGUCAGUUGUGGAAGGCGGCGAUGGCUAACAGUGGCUGGGCGGCGAAGGUCCAACAGUGGCUUGGCGGCGCCGACGUCUGACUGUAGUGUGCGUCUGAACGGCGACAUCGAAGAAAGUCUGAAUGGCGACGUCGAAGAAAGACAUCGAGAUUAACUGGGAUGGAACUGGCCACAUAUUGCGCACAAGAGGAUAGUCUGCACUUGCGUUGGCGAGAAGCUCGUCGACGCGGGCGUCGUCUGCUGCGCACGGCGGCGAUGGCGCAGGACAGGGCGGGCUGCUGCGACGUACGUCCGGGGUGGGCAAAGGCAGGUAGAUCAAGCCGAUUCCCAGAAGUUUAGCCAUUUGUUGUGAGGCAGGCGUGUUAAUUCCCGUUAAUUGUGGCUAAUUUUCUGUAGUUGAUUGGCUCGUAUGUGUAUAUAUGUUUUUGACGCGAAUGCAAUGGGUGGACGUGUUUUUUUUUUUGCGGGGGAGGUGGAACUGAUCGAUGGCAGAGUUUCGUCCGCUACUAUAAAUUGCUAAACGCACAUAGGUGAGGGCUGACUUUUAUGUGGACGGUUAGAUGCCUGAUCUUGGGGUGGUAAUUUGUUUUGUUUGCCCUGUGUACAUUUAUCUGGGAAGAAUAUGUUUGCUUGUUUAAUAGUAGUAGAGAAGUAGAGAUAGACUGCUGAUGAUGUAGCUUUCUAAUUCUUUUUUUUAACACAGCUUUCUAACAUUUUGUU